UCUGUCUCAAAAAAAAAAAAAUCCUAAAAUAUUGGAAUGAUACAGAGAAGAUUAACAGGGCUCUGUACAGGAUGACAUGCAAAUUUCUGAAGUGUUCCAUAUUUUA
rfam:Otolemur garnettii contig092994, whole genome shotgun sequence.